rnacentral:lncRNA from 1 species
GUUUCUCAUUCAAAAUUCAAAUUCAUUAUUUCCCCAAACCAGAUCUGCAAAACAAUUUCCAUAACCCAGAGAGAGACGAGACCACCGUUUAUUUGUUGUAUUCACACAUUCAUUCUUCACAUUUUUAUCUUCUCUUUGAAACCCUGAUGGAAACGCCCUUGAUUCAGAUGAUCGAUCUUCAUCUAUAAGUGUUUUGCUGUGUAAUCUAGUUUGAGAUCAAGAGCUUGGUGUUGAGAGUGUAGUGAAGUAACAGGAAGGAAUCAUGUUUGGUUCUAGCAAUCAAAGUGCUGUCAUGACAAGAUUAUAGAGGAAGUGGAAAUGAUAAAUUGUUUACGUAAAAGAAUAACCCUUUCUACUUCAUUAGGAGGGUGUGUUCAGAAUUGAUUGUUUUUUUUGUCUUGAUGUGAAAAUUAAGGAGAGGUGGAGUUUCUGUUCGCGGAGGGAACAUACAACCUUUCAUUCCGCCUACAACUUGGGUGGUCGGGCAACUGCUAGGAGAUGAACUUUCUAUGAAUGCCAAUGAUGUGCGGAAGCUGGAAACCAAACUGGAAAAGAGUCUAAAGGUGUAAAAUAUUUACCAGUUAGCUGUGAAUAACUGAUUUUUUUCAUCCCUUCAUUAGCAGGAUCUAACAUUGGUUCGGGACCUGUGUGGACCGAUUAUAUCAGCUUUUUAAAAUCUUUACUGGAGGAUAGAGAUCAUGUUUAGGAGGGAGAGAAAGAAGCAGGGAAAACAAUUGUUGAGGCGUCCUUCGCCCUUCUUGCAUUUUGGCCUACAUAAUGCUUUGUAAACUUUUUUUUCUUCGUUAACAAUACCAGUUGACCUUUUGUCUCAUGGGAACAUAUGUUCUUUGUCUUUUGACAAUAAAGGCAUACGUAAUGUCACUGUGGAAUGUCUUCCAAAGCGCAACUUGUCUGUCUUUGUUCCCGUCUUGGAGAGAUUUGUGAAUGUUAGUCAACAGUGGGAAAGAACACAUCGGCUAUCAGUUGCAAAUAAAAUCAUCAGGCAAUAUGUUUUAGUAAACUUAUUGUUAUAGCCGAUUUUAAUUUUGGUUUAGAGCUACAUGUGUGUUAAAAUUAGAUUAUAGUUUACAAAUUUAGUUUAUUUUAACCAGGUACGAAUUUAAUUAACUGGGUUGUUUUAGUUUGAAUUUUGCUGUAAUUUGUUUACUUGAAAUUGUUUCUAUAUUUGUGUUAAUCGUUGGGCGUUUU